AGAAAAAGUUCAUUUAAUAGCCAAGAUCUCAUAACAUGCCUCCCUUUCGCACGAUCUGUACCUAAAACUCAGAGGAAAUCGAGAUCUAAAGCGAUUAUCUGCCUCUGAAUCAAUGGUUAUCAACUCUAGCUCUAUACCAUCCUGGUGCUGGUGUAGUUGUUGGUGUUGUCAACUAUUGGAGCUGCUGGUUUGAAGUGCAUAUCAACUGUUUGAGGGGACACAAAGGAUGUAGAGGUGAAAAGCUUUAUUCUGGCUUGUUUGCUAUCGCCCUUGUUUCACAUUCCAUUGUAUAGCACUAUCUAAACAUGAAGAGAGCUCUAAUGUUAAAGUUGGUCAAAUUAGAAGAACAUGAGAUGCGAAGGUCAGCACAUUUCCUACAAAAGAAGUCUGCACAUCUCCUGUGAAGAAUACCACAUCCCCGCAUAUUCAAAAAAAG